GUACUCAUAGCUCAGCUGGAUAGAGUAUUGGUCUUCGGAACCAAGGGUCGGGGGUUCGAAUCCCUCUGAGUACACCA
rnacentral:tRNA from 1 species